AUCAUGGGUGUCACAAACCUGGACAAACCAAUCAAUGGUGCAGCAGUUCACCAGGGAUGGGAACAUUCGGCAUCGGGACCUGAAGGCCUCGCCAACUGGGCUCAUGCAGAGAACAAUGUGCAGCUUCUGUCUCACUCUGCUGAUGAAAUAUUGAAACACCUGAUGGAAAAGUUGUGGAUGUGAUGUGUCCAAUUGCUUCAAGCUCUUGGUACCAUGACUUCCCUGCCAUGAUGGGCUGUACCAAUGAUGGACUAUGCCUCUGAACUAUGAGCUGGAAUAAACUCUUUCAUCUUUAA